rnacentral:lncRNA from 1 species
GAAAGCUAAGUAAGGUCAGAAAGCUAAGUAAGGCCAGAAAGCUAAGAAAGCUAAGUAAGGCCAGAAAGCUAAGUAAGGUCAGAAAGCUAAGUAAGGCUAGAAAGCUAAGUAAGUACAGCUAGACUGCUUAUAUUGUAGCUAUCUAAUGCAAGGAAGAGAGACUUUCUGACAACAAAAUCAGCAAUCGUCGAGUCCGAGUCGAGUCACGGAAAUCGUGAUUUGAGUCUGAGUCAAAUCAGUCCUGGAUUCAGGUACUACAACACUGCUGUACAUACUCUGUGUGUGUGUGUCUCACAGCGCUGAGUUAACGAUAAGGUGCUCACCAAACUAUGUUGCCAAACCUUACUACUUAAAGGGGGAAUGCACUAAGCUUAUCGUGUUCACUCACACACACCCACACGCCAGCACCACAGACCCUUAGUGUGUUUUUCUAACGAACCAAACCCGUGUUCUCCUUAGCAUGUUCUUAGCAUGUGCAUGCCAAACUGUACCAUGUAUGUGUAGUGUCUGGGGGGUGUUUCUGAGACACCCCUCUCUGCCCUGUCCUUCCGUAGGACCCAAAACACCCCCCUUCCUCGCAGCCCUAAUGGUCCGGUCUGGCCUAGGUAGAAUCAUCUCCUCCCCUCUGCGUUCCGGCCGGGUGGUACAGCCCAACACCCCUGGCUCUAAAGGUGGGCGUGGCCGGGUGGUACAGCCCAACACCACUGGCUCUAAAGAUAUCAACGCCCAGGCUAGGAAGCUACAGAGGAACAGAACUAAAGGGACUCUGACACUACCUCGACCUGGGACCACCUUCUGCCGCUCCCUCAGUGAGACCAGUCUCAACCAGGUACACUACUAUUACUACUAUUACUACCACUACUAAUGGAACUCUGACACUACCUCGACCUGGGACCACCUUCUGCCGCUCCCUCAGUGAGACCAGUCUCAACCAGGUACACUACUAUUACUACUAUUACUACCACUACUAAUGGAACUCUGACACUACCUCGACCUGGGACCACCUUCUGCCGCUCCCUCAGUGAGACCAGUCUCAACCAGUUACAACUAUUACUACUAUUAUAACUAUUAUAACUAUUAUAACUAUUAC